rnacentral:rRNA from 1 species
UACGUAGGUGACCAGCGUUGUCCGGAUUUACUGGGCGUAAGGAGCGCGCAGGCGGUCGUUCAAGUCGAGUGUGAAAGCCCCCGGCUCAACUGGGGAGGGUCACUUGAUACUGAUCGACUCGAAGGCAGGAGAGGGAAGCGGAAUUCCCGGUGUAGUGGUGAAAUGCGUAGAUAUCGGGAGGAACACCAGUGGCGAAGGCGGCUUCCUGGCCUGUUCUUGACGCUGAGGCGCGAAAGCUAGGGGAGCAAACGGG